rnacentral:miRNA from 1 species
GCAGACACAUUCCAGCCAAUCAGCAGCAGACCCUCCCUCCCAGACCCUCCCACCUCCUGGACAGCAUCCAUUUUGCAUUCAUUGUGAAGUUGCAUUCUUAGUGAGCUGUCCAGGAGGUGGGAGGGUCUGGAGGGAGGGUCUGCUGCUGAUUGGCUGGAAUGUGUCUG